rnacentral:lncRNA from 1 species
CCCAGGAGAUGAACAUAUGCCUGAGAAGAAGAACUAGUGUGGAACUGUCAGCCAGGUUUUUGAUGAGUGCUCAGACUGCUUUUUGAUCCGGCACCACAUUUACUAUAGUGGACAGAUGCUCUAGUCUCUGAUGAGGAGUUGCUAGCUGUUAGGAAAAACCUGGAAUGGGCUCCACUGCAUGAGGUUUGAAGUCUCCAGAGCAGCAAAGAGAGUGGGGAGUAGAACUCAUCAUCUUUAGGUCACUCAGCAUCGAUGGGUUGUUUGCAACCUUAGUAUACAGACAUGGAUGGUUGAACACAAACCUGUCAGGCUGAUAAAGAACUAGACAUCUACUAACGUCCUUGGAACCAUGUUCAGAUUGCUGCACAUCCUCCUGAAGAUGCCACAGAUGACAUGGUUCCUUGUGAUUGUUGUUCUCUUCUUGUUGUUGCUGUUUUCUUUUAACUUUUGAAGAGGAUACUUUAUUAGUCUGUUGCUAUGUUAGUCAUCUCCUGGCAUUAGAAACCAACAUCCCACUGUUUAAAUGUUUUACAUUUCCUACUCUUUUUGGAAAACACAACGUAUGCACAUCAUUUUUUCCUAUUGUUUCAAAGACAUACCACUAUGUAAUUCAACUUUACAAUUGUAAACAUUUUGACCAAUAUUCACAUGAAUAUAAAUUUUAUGUGUAAACUU